UCAAGCGAACAAGAGCGCAAGGGGAAUGCCUUGGCAUCAGGAGCCGAUGAAGGACGUGAUAAGCUGCGAAAAGCUUCGGGGAGCUGCAAAUAAGCUUUGAUCCGGAGAUGUCCGAAUGGGGAAACCCACCUGAGGAAACCUCAGGUAACGCAUGGUGAAUCAAAUAGCCAUGCGUGGGGAACCGCCUGAACUGAAACAUCUAAGUAGGGCGAGGAAAAGUAAUCAACCGAGAUUCCGAAAGUAGUGGCGAGCGAAAUCGGAAGAGGCCAAACCGUACGUAGCAAUAUGUGCGGGGUUGUGGACGGCAAUGUCGGUAAGCUUCGUUAGACGAAUGGUCUGGGAAGGCCAGUCAAAGAGUGUGAGAGCCACGUAGUCGAAAAUGAAGUGAACGUAGCCGGAUCCAGAGUACCGCGGGGCACGAGGAAUCCCGUGGGAAGCCGGGGGGACCACCCUCCAAGCCAAAAUACUACCUGAUGACCGAUAGAGGAGCAGUACCGUGAGGGAAAGGUGAAAAGCACCCCGGGAGGGGAGUGAAAUAGUACCUGAAACCUUGUGCUUACAAGCAGACAUAGCCCGUUAAAGGGUGGUGUCGUACUUUUUGUAGAACGGUCCGGCGAGUUAUAGUAACUGGCGAGCUUAAGGUAUUCAGUACCGGAGGCGAAGGGAAACCGAGUGUGAAUAGCGCGUGAAGUCAGUUGCCAUAGACCCGAAACCAGGUGACCUAGCCAUGUCCAGGAUGAAGUGGAGGUAAAGCUCCAUGGAGGUCCGAACCCACGUACGUUGCAAUGUCCGGGGAUGAGGUGUGGCUAGCGGUGAAAUUCCAAACGAACUUGGAGAUAGCUGGUUCUCCCCGAAAUAGCUUUAGGGCUAGCGUAGGUAAUGAGUUUCACGGAGGUAAAGCACUGUCUGAGCUAGGGGGCGAUAAGCUUACUGAACUCUAACAAACUAAGAAUGCCGUAGAAAUGCUUACCUGCAGUCAGACUGCGAGUAAUAAAAUCCGUGGUCAAAAGGGAAACAGCCCAGACCCACAGCUAAGGUCCCAAAUAUGCGCUAAGUGGAAAACGAUGUGAGAUUGCAUAAACAACCAGGAUGUUGGCUUAGAGGCAGCCACUCGUUCAAAGAGUGCGUAAUAGCUCACUGGUCGAGUGAUCUUGCGCGGAAAAUUUAACGGGGCUAAGCGUAUAACCGAAGCUUGGGAAUGUCGAAAGACAUUGGUAGGGGAGCGUCGUGUAUGGGGUGAAGUCGCAUCGGAAGGAGCGGUGGACUGUACACGAGUGAGAAUGCCGGAAUGAGUAGCGAGAAUUAUGUGGGAAUCAUAAUGGCCGAAAAUCUAAGGUUUCCUGGGGAAGGUUCGUCCGCCCAGGGUAAGCCGGGAGCUAAGGCGAGGCCGCGAGGCGUAGUCGAUGCACAUACGGUAGAAAUUCCGUAGCCACCUCACACUAGAAAGCUGACACAUGGAGAUAGUCGAACCCGGCCGUUGGUCGCGCCGGGCGAAAGGGACCGAACUUAUAGUAGGGAAGUCGAUGAUGCUCUGUGGCGAGAAAAGGCGAAGUGAGGUGCCCGUACCGCAAACCGACACAGGUAGAUGAGGAGAGAAUCCUAAGGCCAACGGGAGAAGGGUUGUUAAGGAACUCGGCAAAUUGGUCCCGUAACUUCGGGAGAAGGGACGCCCUCGAAAGAGGGUCGCAGUGAAUAGGCCCAAGCAACUGUUUACCAAAAACACAGGUCUCUGCUAAAUCGAAAGAUGACGUAUAGGGGCUGACGCCUGCCCGGUGCCGGAAGGUUAAGAGGAGGGCUUAGUGGCAACACGAAGGCUUGAAUUUAAGCCCCGGUAAACGGCGGCCGUAACUAUAACGGUCCUAAGGUAGCGAAAUUCCUUGUCAGGUAAGUUCUGACCCGCACGAAAGGCGUAAUGAUUUGGGCACUGUCUCAACAGCCCGCCCGGCGAAAUUGUAGUACCGGUGAAGAUGCCGGUUACCCGCGACAAGACGGAAAGACCCCAUGGAGCU
rnacentral:rRNA from 1 species